GGCGAACGCUGGCGGCGUGCUUAACACGUGCGAGUCGAACGGAAAGGCCCUGCUUUUGUGGGGUGCUCGAGUGGCGAACGGGUGAGUAACACGUGAGUAACCUGCCCUUGACUUUGGGAUAACUUCAGGAAACUGGGGCUAAUACCGGAUAGGAGCUCCUGCUGCAUGGUGGGGGUUGGAAAGUUUCGGCGGUUGGGGAUGGACUCGCGGCUUAUCAGCUUGUUGGUGGGGUAGUGGCUUACCAAGGCUUUGACGGGUAGCCGGCCUGAGAGGGUGACCGGCCACAUUGGGACUGAGAUACGGCCCAGACUCCUACGGGAGGCAGCAGUGGGGAAUAUUGCACAAUGGGCGGAAGCCUGAUGCAGCAACGCCGCGUGCGGGAUGACGGCCUUCGGGUUGUAAACCGCUUUCGCCUGUGACGAAGCGUGAGUGACGGUAAUGGGUAAAGAAGCACCGGCUAACUACGUG
rnacentral:rRNA from 1 species